AUUGAACGCUGGCGGCAUGCUUUACACAUGCAAGUCGAACGGUAACAGCACUUCGGUGGCUGACGAGUGGCGAACGGGUGAGUAAUACAUCGGAACGUGCCUAGUAGUGGGGGAUAACUACUCGAAAGAGUAGCUAAUACCGCAUGAGAUCUAAGGAUGAAAGCAGGGGACCUUCGGGCCUUGCGCUACUAGAGCGGCUGAUGGCAGAUUAGGUAGUUGGUGGGAUAAAAGCUUACCAAGCCGACGAUCUGUAGCUGGUCUGAGAGGACGACCAGCCACACUGGGACUGAGACACGGCCCAGACUCCUACGGGAGGCAGCAGCGGGGAAUUUUGGACAAUGGGCGCAAGCCUGAUCCAGCAAUGCCGCGUGCAGGAUGAAGGCCUUCGGGUUGUAAAAUGCUUUUGUACGGAACGAAAAGCCCUCUUCUAAUACAGGAGGGUCAUGACGGUACCGUAAGAAUAAGCACCGGCUAACUACGUG
rnacentral:rRNA from 1 species